AGCGAACGCUGGCGGCAGGCCUAACACAUGCAAGUCGAGCGGCCGUAGCAAUACGGCAGCGGCAGACGGGAGAGUAACACGUGGGAACGCGCCCUUCGGUUCGGAAUAACUCAGGGAAACUUGGGCUAAUACCGGAUACGCCCUUACGGGGAAAGAUUUAUUGCCGAAGGAACGGCCCGCGUCCGAUUAGCUUGUUGGUGAGGUAACGGCUCACCAAGGCGACGAUCGGUAGCUGGUCUGAGAGGAUGACCAGCCUCACUGGGACUGAGACACGGCGCAGACUCCUACGGGAGGCGGCAGUGGGGAAUAUUGGACAAUGGGCGCAAGCCUGAUCCAGCCAUGCCGCGUGGGUGAUGAAGGCCCUAGGGUUGUAAAGCCCUUUCGGCGGGGAAGAUAAUGACGGUACCCGCAGAAGAAGCCCCGGCUAACUUCGUGCCAGCCGCCGCCGUAA
rnacentral:rRNA from 1 species